AUAAAGUAUCCACCCCCACCCAGAUUGGAUAACUGAAGUCAAACAAAAGAACCUCAUAUUAUCCUCAAAUUAAGGAUCACAAUGGCACACGUCGUCAGUUAAAAGGCACAGUAUAUAACAACCCAAGUUCUUAUGUUUUUUUUCCAUUUUAAAGUUAAAUCUUUCCCAACUCCAUUCUUAAAACUUCUACUUUGUCUUCCUUUUGCGAUUCAUUACAAGACCCUCAUAUUUUUUUUGCUUCUAUUCCCGUUUGAAGAUUACAAAAGUCAUAAUGAUCAUUCCAGAUACAUUAUAACGAGUUCAGUUGAACCCGUUUAUCAUGUUUGUUUUGGUGAUAUGACCUUCUCUUAUUUAGUCGUGCUCCCUUGAGAACUUCGUCUCCUUGAGCAUCAAAAACAUCAAGAAAGUCAUGAAAAGCACUAAGUUGUAGAUUUCAUGUUAUGGAUCCUACGGAGAAGAGUGAUCCAAAUUGUUUUUUUAUAAUGAAUUGUCUUUUUAACUUAUGAUUCAUGUAUCCCAAAGUAAUUUUAUGUUUGAUUGUAUUACAAAGAUUUGUUGCAAAUAUACUUUUCGUUAGAUGAUUUCAAAUUUCCUUUUGCUUUCUUUUCUUUCUAUUCUUCAUGGUUCAAGAUAGUUAUAUCUUAU
rnacentral:lncRNA from 1 species